rnacentral:tRNA from 15 species
GGGGGAUUAGCUCAGUUGGCUAGAGCGCCUGCCUUGCACGCAGGAGGUCAUCGGUUCGACUCCGAUAUUCUCCACAA